UACGUAGGGGGCAAGCGUUGUCCGGAAUCAUUGGGCGUAAAGCGCGUGUAGGCGGUUCGGUAAGUCUGCUGUGAAAGUCCAGGGCUCAACCCUGGGAUGCCGGUGGAUACUGUCGGACUAGAGUACGGAAGAGGCGAGUGGAAUUCCCGGUGUAGCGGUGAAAUGCGCAGAUAUCGGGAGGAAUACCGGUGGUGUAGACGGCUCUCUGGACCGCCACUGACGCUGAGACGCGAAAGCGUGGGGAGCGAACAGG
rnacentral:rRNA from 1 species